GCGAGUCUGGCCGAGUGGUUAAGGCGUUGUGUUUAGGUACUCCAUCGAAGAGUAAUGCUUGAACCGCAAUGGGCAUCGCCCGCGUAGGUUCGAUCCCUACGGCUCGCA
rnacentral:tRNA from 1 species